rfam:Vibrio azureus NBRC 104587 DNA, contig: VAZ01S024.
GCAAUCUCGGAGCGUACAUUUAUUUUACGUUGUUGAUGCACUCAUCGAGUUCUCUGGGGGAUACGCGUAAGCACAGUUGGCUAAAGACAACUUUAGUUAUCAGUGCCAUUACGUAGGGUAGGUAUUGGCAUCAUCGUGAGCCAAUAGACGGGAUACUAGUGCGGCCAAUGGCGGCAUGUUAAUGGGAAACCCAACA